rnacentral:rRNA from 1 species
UACGUAGGUGGCGAGCGUUGUCCGGAUUUACUGGGCGUAAAGAGCGCGCAGGCGGCUGGUCAAGUCCGAUGUGAAAGCUCCCGGCUUAACUGGGAAAUUGCAUCGGAAACUGAUCGGCUGGAAGGUGGGAGAGGGUAGCGGAAUUCCCGGUGUAGUGGUGAAAUGCGUAGAUAUCGAGAGGAACACCAGUGGCGAAGGCGGCUCACUGGGCUCUACCUGACGCUGAGGCGCGAAAGCGUGGGGAGCGAACCGG